GGGUGGAGUACCUGGGUGCCUUGGGUCUCACUGUUCCUCCAGGUGCUGGGGCAGAUAUUGUGUCCUCCUCACCUCUGAUCCUAUCAAGGAGCUGUUAUUCUUCCCACACAUAUGGCAUGGUUUAUCCAGCAUGAGGGUGCCACCAGAAAGAACUUGCCAACUCCAGACUUUCUGUUGGCAAGAAGGGAGGUUCUUGUCUGGAUAUUUUAUCUUCUAGACAAAGGAUGGUGGGACUUCUUUCCUGAUCUCCCCAGGAUGGGAACAUUGCAGCUACCAGGCAGUGCAGAAAAUCCACUUGUAAGAGGAAAAUUCCCUUGACUCCAUGGCUUCCCAAAUAGAGGGCCCAGGUGCUGGUGAUCAUCACAAGGCUACAUUUCCUGAAAUUUAUUGUGGGGACCAAAACUGCUAUUUGUAGUUCUACAUGGAAGUAAUUGGUUUGCUUACUCCCUCCAUCACUUUCCCAGAGCUGACAUGACAAAGUGCCACCAACUUGCUGGCUUAACACAGCAAAUGUACAUUCAUUCACUAUCCUGAGGAGUAUAAACCUGAAAUCAAGUGUCCAGGUAUGUAAAACCUUCUUUGCAGUCUCCAGAAACAAUUCUUCCCUGAUUCUUGUCUGCUACCCCCAUGCUCUUGAACUUGUGAUAAUAUGGCUCUAACCUCUGCCCUAAUCUUCAGUAACUAUUUUUGUGUCUUCUCAUAGCUGUCUGUUUUCCAGAAUACCUGUUAUAUUGGAUUUUAAGCCCAACUUGCUCCAGGAUGACCUAUCUUAAUGAAGUACACUUACAAGAACUCUAUUUCUGAAACCACUCCAGGGAACCCCAAUAGUAUUAGAACUUUUGAUGCAAAAGUCUUCAAGAAUGGUCAACAGAAAAUAUUGACAACACAUGUGCUGACUACAUUCUACCAAGAGGAAAAGAAGAACUUCUCGCAGAGAAGGAGAGAGGAUGCUGGAAGUCUACUCCAGCACUUACUAAUAGAGUGUAACAAAUUAUGGGGUUUUAGAAAUUCAAUUUAGCUCUCAACAUGCGCCGUUUCACCACCUGCGUACACAAGAGUCACACCCACACGAGUUCCCUCUGCCAGCUCCAUCUCGUCCCUCCUCCUCAUUAGCCAACACCUAAUUACAUACUAAUUGGCUCAGAGAACACAAGCUUGUUAUUGCACUAAAAACACUCAGAGCUCCCCCACAGACAGAUUCUCAUGAAAACCAAAUAUAAAAGGAGUUGGCCUUGUGCCUGGUUUUCAUCAAGACAUAGCUAGAUUCUUCUAGCUCCUUCCUGGCCACAAAGUUAGGCUUCGCUCUUAUGCUUCUGUGAAGUAAUUUUCUUCAGGGACACAUUGAAGUAGUUAGGACCAGCCAAAUGGACCGAACCAGAUUUGAGUGUGUCAUAACCACAACAAUUUCAGAAAUAAAGGACUUCACAAAUGACCUUGAUCA
rnacentral:lncRNA from 1 species